rnacentral:rRNA from 1 species
CAGCCGCCGCGGUAAUACGGAGGGGGCUAGCGUUGUUCGGAAUUACUGGGCGUAAAGCGCACGUAGGCGGCUUGGUAAGUUAGAGGUGGAAGCCUGGAGCUCAACUCCAGAAUUGCCUUUAAGACUGCCGAGCUAGCAGGUGAGAGAGGUAAGUGGAAUUCCGAGUGUAGAGGUGAAAUUCGUAGAUAUUCGGAAGAACACCAGUGGCGAAGGCGGCUUACUGGCUCAUACUGGACGCUGAGGUGCGAAAGCGUGGGGAGCAAACAGGAUUAGAUACCCGAGUAGUCCCUGUCUCUUAUAC